rnacentral:rRNA from 1 species
UAUACAUGAGCAAAAAUCUCAACUUUAUUAGAAGAGACGCAUUUAUUAGAUAAAAAGCCAAUGCAUGCUUUUACAGUAUGAAAAUUGGUGAUUUAUAAUAACUUAGCAAAUCGCAUAGUGAAAACAGGCGAUAAAUCAUUCAAGUUUCUGACCUAUCAGCUUUCGACGGUAUGGUAUUGGCUUACCGUGGCAGUGACGGUUAACGGGGGAUUAGGGUUCGAUUCCGGAGAGGGAGCCUGAGAAACGGCUACCACAUCUAAGGAAGGCAGCAGGCGCGCAAAUUACCCAAUUCUAACAGUUUGAGAGAGGUAGUAACAAGAAAUAACAAUACAAGGCAGUUAAAAUGCUUUGUAAUUGGAAUGAUAGAAAUUUAAACCCUUUUUAAAGUAUCAAUUGGAGGGCAAGUCUGGUGCCAGCAGCCGCGGUAAUUCCAGCUCCAAUAGCGUAUAUUAAAAUUGUUGCAGUUAAAAAGCUCGUAGUUGAAGUUCUGCUAAAAGUAACCGGUCUGCUUUGAAUAAAAGUGGUAUCUUGGUAUGUAUUUAGCAAUGAUGUCCUUUGAAGUGUUUUUUACUUUAUUGUAAUAAAGCAUAUUCAGGACUUUUACUUUGAGAAAAUUAGAGUGUUUCUACCAGGCCAACGCUUUGAAUACUGCAGCAUGGAAUAAUAAGA